rnacentral:rRNA from 1 species
GGACGAACGCUGGCGGCGUGCCUAAUACAUGCAAGUCGAACGGUCUUUCUAUGGAAGCUUGCUUCCACUGAGAAGAUAGUGGCGAACGGGUGAGUAACACGUGGGUAACCUGCCCAUAAGAGGGGGAUAACAUCCGGAAACGGGUGCUAAUACCGCAUAGUUUUCUUGAUCGCAUGAUCGGGAAAGGAAAGACGGCCUUUGUGCUGUCGCUUAUGGAUGGACCCGCGGCGUAUUAGUUAGUUGGUGAGGUAACGGCUCACCAAGACGAUGAUACGUAGCCGACCUGAGAGGGUGAUCGGCCACAUUGGGACUGAGACACGGCCCAAACUCCUACGGGAGGCAGCAGUAGGGAAUCUUCCGCAAUGGACGAAAGUCUGACGGAGCAACGCCGCGUGAGUGAAGAAAGGGUUUUCGGAUCGUAAAACUCUGUUGUCAGAGAAGAACAAGUUGGAGAGUAACUGCUCCAGCCUUGACGGUAUCUGACCAGAAAGCCACGGCUAACUACGUGCCAGCAGCCGC